GACGAACGCUGGCGGCGUGCUUAACACAUGCAAGUCGAGCGGUAAGGCCCUUUCGGGGGUACGACGAGCAGCGAACGGGUGAGUAACACGUGGGUGACCUGCCCUCCAGCUCUGGGAUAAGCCUGGGAAACCGGGUCUAAUACCGGAUAUGACUCCAUGACGCAUGUUGUGGGGUGGAAAGCCUUGUGCGGCUGAGGAUGGGCCCG
rnacentral:rRNA from 1 species